GCAGUCAUUAAAGAAUGUUAGCCAGGUGCAGUGGUGCACGCCUUUAAUCCCAGCACUUUGGGAGGUGGAGGUGGGUGGAUCGCCUGAGGUCAGGAGUUUGAGACCAACCUAGCCAACAUUGUGAAACCCUGUCUCUACGAAAACUACAAAAAUUAGCCAGGUGUGGUGGCACGCAUGCCUGUAAUCCCAGCUACUUGGGAGGCUGAGGCAGGAGAAUCGCUUGAACCCGGGAGGCAGAGGUUGUAGUGAGCCGAGAUCACACCACUGCACUCCAGCCUGGGCGAUAGAGUGAGACUCCGUCUCAAAAAAAAAAAAAAGAAUGUCAACUGCUCCUGGCUCUGCAGAGGUAUGGCCCAGGUGACAGGGCUAUUGAGAGGCCAAAGGGACCCUGAUCAGCCAGUGGUGUCUUUGGAAUAGGUGCUGCAAGCUCUGGGAGGUGCUACUGCGCACCAGAAGGUUGGUGAGUUGGCCAAGGGUGUGGAGCUGGCUCCAGAGGGGAAGGAACAAAGGGAAGGGACCCUCUGGGAGCUGGAGAGACUUGGGAGCCUGGAGGCAGGAAUUCCCUGCCAUUGCCUGAGGCCUGGUUUGGAAAGUACAAUGCAGUUUUGGCAUGGUGGUUGCUGGCCUGGAAUGUGGUGGGGUGAAGAGCGUGGUGGAAGGACACACUGAGUUCCUGACCAUCCAGCAACAAAGGAGCAAAAAGACCUUGGAAUCCAUGAGAAGAAUUCUUAUGGCCAUGGAAUUGAUCAUGAAGAGGAACAAGGAGAGUCAUGAAAAGAUGAAAACUAUUCUGUUAAAUGCCUUUGUAAUCAAACUACUGGAUCUGAGAAAAAAAGUACCAACUGAAUUUCCAUGUAUUUAAAAUUUUUUGUGUGUGAAAACAUAUAGCAAUUGGAAAUCUGUCAAGGCAAGUAAAAAACUUUUCCCAAUGUUAAUGAAAUUUGACUCAUGAUAUUUAUCUACAAGACAUAAAAAUAUAGAUGGAUCCCAGAUACUCAGGAGGCUGAGGCAGCAGGAUCACUGGAGCCCAGGAGUUCGUACUGGUGGAGAAAAACAUUACUCACGUGGUGACAAAGUACCAGGCAGUUGUAAUGCACAGCCAGAGUUAAGAUUCCCUGCUCCUUAAAAGGGGUUCCCAGACUCGCAGCAUAUCGGCGUCACUGGCAGACCCACUGCGUCAGCAUGUGCAGCUGAACCAUGUCCCAGCAGGGAGAGGAUGUACAAACCCUGAAGAACAGAGGCAAACAUUUCAUUGUGGACAAAUGCUGUGAAGGAAGAGGACACAGCUCUUGAGUGUCCAUACUUGGGACUCUGUGCGCUUAGGGUGCCUGCUUUACCUGCCUGUCUGCUGUCAUCAGAAAGCUCGAG
rnacentral:lncRNA from 1 species